CAGAACAGCACUUGGAAACAACCUCAGUGAUCAAUACUGACAGCACAACCACAGAGACCUGGUAAUGCAGCAUGGGGGCCCUGAGACCUGGCAGAGGUAUGGAAUGGCACAACAGUCAGGCUACAGAGGCAGUGUGGCAUCUGGGACGGGGUGAGAAGGCUGCUACUCACCUCGUUCUACUUCACAUUCAGGGGAGGAGGCCCCGCUGCAUUCACUUCGAGGGCCCAACACUGGGAACAUCAUCCCAAACUCUGACAGGGACACAGGGCUGGGCAGAUCCAGGCUGCCAGGCCUCACAACCGCAGGGAACUGGUCAGGCAUCUCAGACGGGCUUGUUGGUCCUGAACUAAAGCUGGACACGGACUGGGUUUCCGAGUCAUCUUCAGACACAAAGUUGCUACAGCUGUCAUCUUCAAAGGCCUCCGAGGCCACUAAGUUGAGAGAGAACACCAGUCACAUGGGUUCUGUCACCUCCUCAAACACCACAAGUGCUUGCUGCUGGCAGGCAGCUAGACACAGCAUGGGGGACUAAAGAGUCUCUACCUCUGUGAGUGCCUAAUGAAGGAAUGUGACUUCCCAAGCCUGAAUGACCAGCCUCUAAAGCAGCUGGAAGGGAAGCAGCUGGCAGCAGGAUCCCAUGGAUAUUAAGCGCCCUUCCAAUAACCUUAUAACCCUGCCAAGAAAUCAGUGUCACCAGACACCACCUAAAAAUGGAAGAUUAAUUCAGCCACAAAUUAGGACCUUUACUCCACCUCAGUCCCCCAAAUACAUCCUCAUGUGCACAGGAAGAGGUUCUAGUCCUCUGUAACAUAUCCCAAACAAAGCCAGCUGGACUCAGGCUUCUUUCUUAGGGCAAUAGAAGCAAGAGCUGCUAGAAGAAACAGGCCAGCAUGGAACAUCUGUUGGGACCUUUGUUAUCUCCAGGUAACUUCUGAUCUCAUAAAGAACACACUCAAAGGCUACCCACAUCACCAUUUGCUGCAAAAGAACAGAAAUCCUUUACAAUGCUCUGUAGCCACAUUAUUUGGUAGACCAAAGUAACAAGGCCCAGACACAUGUUAUUCCCAUGGUUUCAAAGCCUCUUUGGCCUUUAGCGGUUUUCCCUCAGCCUGCCCACAAUCCCACUCCUUAUUAGAACUUUCCUACUCCAUUUUUCCCCCCCUUUCUCUUUAAAAACAGCCUUGUAGCAUUCCAUAAAGGUUUCUUAUAAAUGAUAAAUACUGUAAUGUUGGGGACAGAAAAUGGGCUCAGACCUGAAUUGAAUCCCUAACUCCACUACUUGCUGUGUGACCUUGGUCAAGUUACUUUACCUCUGUAAGCUUCAUGAUCCUCUCCAUGCAGGGUUUGAGAUGAUGUAUAUAUUAAAGUACCUCAUACAUAGUAGUUGUUCAAAUGAUAGUUUCCUUUUCCUUUACCUUGAACCUAGUACUUAAAUAUUUGUUGAAGGAAUUAACUCCUGAGGAAGGAGCUUGGGAAAGAGCCGACAGGGAUUAUUGCACAGGUAAGGAAAAGAAAGGAAGUAUGCAAAGACAGCGUUGGGUGGGUUUUCUUGAUGAGCAUGACAGAAACCAAGUCAAACUUCUAUCAGUUUUCCAGGGGGAGGCCCUGGGAAAAGAGGUCUCUAUGGUCAGAUGUCAGUAAGAGCCACCAUUUGCUGAGUGCUUCUUGGGUGUCAGGGGUUGAUUCAUGUAAGCUGAACCACCACCCUACACAACGGAUAGUAUACAGUAGAUAGCGUCAUACUCCCCAUUUUACAGGUGAAGAAACUGAAAUACAAAGUUAGGCCCUUGCCCACAUCAUGCCUUAGUAAUGAUGUAAAGGUAGCUUUGAAUCAAAUCUGAUUACAGCUCUUCUUUCCUGCAGGACUUCUCAGCCUUGAAUGUUCAAAUGUAUACUUUGACUCUCAAAGAGGAGUGAAGGUGUAACAUUUUCCCAAUUUAUUUGACCACAGAAUCCUGACUUUGAGGAACACUUAGUACCUUCUUAAUGAACACAGUGUUCCAUAAAACAUGGGAACCCACCAGAAAUAGCCCUCAGGCCUGCCCAACUCUGAGACCUUUCACUGAUGGCCAGAGAAAGUGAGGACCUUGGGAAACAAAUCACACAGUCUGAUAUCUCCCCACAUACCCAGUGGAGCCCCUGACUUACCAGAAAUGGCAUCAGGCUCAGGUUUGCUCCCUGGCAGAUCCUCCACAGAUGUGCUGCUGCCCUCAGCACCAACACCGCAUCCCCGAGGCCCCAUGGCACUGGAGCGCCGCCGCUCGUGGAUCUCAUCUGAGAUCAUCUCCAGGUUCUUCAGGGCCAUCUUGUACUCGCCUUUUGCCAGGGUCAGUUUGGCCUGCAGGUCAUCCACAGUCUUUUUCAGUUGCUGAUCAAGAGAACAGGAGACUAAGUGAAGACUACCCUGCUAGCCUUAAGAUGCUUUCUGAAUGACAGGUUCAAGUACAUUUUCUGCCCAUCAUUCUACUUCAAGGAAUUUUCCAAGACAUGACUGAAGACCUAAUUACCAUUGUAACUGCUAUUCAUUCACCAGACAAAAUCAGCCACCACCAUCCCCAGAUCCCAUCCAGGUGACAACCUCUAAUAUCCAAAAACUCUCACUGGUGGAACAAACCCCAUCAGGGAAGCAAAAAUGGGCAUCAGACACACCAAAGUCCCACAGUCUAGACAUCUGGUUCCCAGUACAGUGGUUCUCAAAGUUGAGCUUGCAUCAAAAUCCCCUUGGGUGUUAAGACUCAGCUCACUAGACUCCAACCUCAGAGUUUCUAAUUCAGUCGGUCUAGAGUGGGACCUGGUCUAUCAGGUCUCCAGGUGAUGCUGAUGCUGCUGGUCCUAAGAGCAUGCUGUGAGAACCACUGGCCUAGUACAACAGAGAAGGUGACUGAAUGGCAGUUACAGAGGUUCAGAGACCACUGAAGACCCAACCGAGACAAUUUUGAGGUCUGAAAACUCAGUAAAGCCUGUCUCUCCACUUUCCCCUUAUAGCAAGUGGCCCAUGUGAUACUCUGCUACCCCAGAAAAGUGAAGCUUUGAGUGCAGAAAAAUCUCAUCAGUGACGAAGCCCAAAGCUACACAUACCUCGAGCUGCACAUAGUACUUUGCCUUGAGUUCAAAAUAAGGCCUGCAGAAGACAGGAAGGAAAGCCAUCAGAGUAAUAUAAUACAGUGACCACAGUCAACUCCACAAGAUGAACAAGAGGCAUCAGCUACCACUGGCCAGGUCGUCCUUCCAAUAUUUAGUAAACUCUUAACAAGGCCGUGACAUGUCAGUGAUGCUCCUAGCUCUGGAGACUGACAGACACCAGAUGGAACGACUGGGCUCACCCAGGGCUAUAUUAACAGGAGGCCCAUCUCAAGACACGGGGAACCCACACACACAUAUCUUGGGGACUCUGCAACUUAGCUCAUGUUCCUCCUCUGUGGGAAGGCUGUUCAGAGCCUCACAGGUUAUACCCAGCAGUAAGGGUGGCCUGGAUCUGCUCUCCUAAUGAAGUUGGCUCCCCAGGGAUGAAGAGCAGCUGAGGCUGGAGAAGGGGCUGCUUAAACCUCCUCCUCUACUGAAGUCAACUGGGGAAGAGAGAGAAGCACCACUCCUCCCUCACAGCACAGCAAGGCCACCACUAGGAGGGGGUCUCAGGUUGGUCCUCCCAAACCUUGUCCAAAGACUGGAGUUAUUAGUUGGCUGACUCAGCCACAUAAUGGGCCCAAGAAAUGCCAGCGUCCUAGCAGUUCCCUUGGUUCUGGGUCAGCUGAAAGAGCUUGGCUCUUUUUUAGGAACUUUGGUGCCUGAACAUUAAGAGUAGAUCACUGCUUUAUUCUUGAGCUGUUCACCCUCCAUGAAGCUCUCAAGUCCUGCAUCCUGAGGAUCCAGAUGGAUGACAAGGACACAGGACUGCCAUUGAGAAAUGAAGAUGAACUGUGUCACAGAUGCAGUGGAUUACUGACUGCCCUUGUAAUAGUCCAUUUUGCAUCUGUUGGUAAUUCAUUGAGGCACUCUUGGUUUUCUAUGAGUUUGUAUUUUUUGAAUUCAAGAAUUGUAACAUCACUGUUAGAUCCCUCCUUAUUUAAUGAGAGAAAU
rnacentral:lncRNA from 10 species